UGCAAAAAACAUGUAAAUAGACUAUUAGUGUCUAUAAUAUGUUUUACAGUGUGACCUUUGAGAUGAGGGAAGACCCUUAACAUCUUGCAACGCUGGAAAUAUAACACAGUCGAUGUUAACAAUGCAUUGUGACAUCAUAUUAGCUGCGAUAUGUUUUCUUUCAAAUCAAACAAUUAUCAACAAUAACAAAACAUACAAAGGUUUGAGAAUUUGAAAACAUUUUCCAAACAAUUCAUUUUAUCUACAGGGUUUUCAAUAACAUAUACCGCAGCAACUGCAAUUUUUUUCCAGAGCACUAUGGGUAAUCCUCAUCAUUUUUCAGGUGAUUCAGAUGUGUAAUGAUUGGAGCGAGCUCGUCUAGUCACUUCACUGGCUAUAACAACUGGAAUGUCCCGGGUUCGAUUUUCGAUCCCGAUAUGAAACCCAAGAUAUUUUACAGGUUCACGUCGAAUCAUGGCCGAAAGAAAAUAAUUCCUGGAACUUUGCAUGUUUUAUGGGACUUUCCUUAUGAGAGGUGGGUGAUUUGGCUUUUGACCAGCUGAUUUUGCACGUGCUUGACUUCGAUGUAAACAAACUCUCACGCCUUGCUGGAUGGCACUUUACCACAUACACAGCUAGGCACAUGCAAUAAAGUAUCAAUCCUUAUACAGUGUCUAAUUGGUUAUGCUAAUUGU